rnacentral:rRNA from 1 species
GUUUGACCUCGGAUCAGGUAGGAAUACCCGCUGAACUUAAGCAUAUCAAUAAAGCGGAGGA